UUACGGCUACAUCACGUUGAAACGCCUGUUCCCGUAUGAUCACCGAGGUUAAGCAACGUCGACCCUGGUCACUACCUAGAUGGGUGACCGCUUGGAAAUACCAGGUGCUGUAAG